rfam:Ovis aries breed Texel chromosome 9, whole genome shotgun sequence.
UCCCUGGUGGCUCAGAUGGUAAAGCGUCUGCCUACAAUGCAGGAGACCCAGGUUCGAUUCCUGUGUUGGGAA